rnacentral:rRNA from 1 species
AUUGAACGCUGGCGGCAUGCCUUACACAUGCAAGUCGAACGGCAGCACGGGUGCUUGCACCUGGUGGCGAGUGGCGAACGGGUGAGUAAUACAUCGGAACAUGUCCUGUAGUGGGGGAUAGCCCGGCGAAAGCCGGAUUAAUACCGCAUACGAUCUACGGAUGAAAGCGGGGGCCCUUCGGGCCUCGCGCUAUAGGGUUGGCCGAUGGCUGAUUAGCUAGUUGGUGGGGUAAAGGCCUACCAAGGCGACGAUCAGUAGCUGGUCUGAGAGGACGACCAGCCACACUGGGACUGAGACACGGCUCAGACUCCUACGGGAGGCAGCAGUGGGGAAUUUUGGACAAUGGGCGAAAGCCUGAUCCAGCAAUGCCGCGUGUGUGAAGAAGGCCUUCGGGUUGUAAAGCACUUUUGUCCGGAAAGAAAUCCUUGGCCCUAAUACGGUCGGGGGAUGACGGUACCGGAAGAAUAAGCACCGGCUAACUACGUG